rnacentral:rRNA from 1 species
AUUGAACGCUAGCGGGAUGCUUUACACAUGCAAGUCGAACGAGUGGCGGACGGGUGAGUAAUAUAUCGGAACGUGCCCAGUAGCGGGGGAUAACUACUCGACAGAGUGGCUAAUACCGCAUACUCUUGGAGCGGCCGAUAUCGGAUUAGCUAGUUGGUGGGGUAAAGGCUCACCAAGCCAACGAUCCGUAGCUGGUUUGAGCGGACGACCAGCCACACUGGUACUGAGACACGGCCCAGACUCCUACGGGAGGCAGCAGUGGAGAAUUUUGGACAAGUGGGGAAACCCUGAUCUGGCCAUCCCGCGUGUAUGAGAAGGCCAUCGGGUUGUAAAGGACUUUUGGCAGAGAAGCGGUAUCUGCAGAAUAAGCACCGGCUAACUCCGUGCCAGCAGCCGCGGUAAUUC